UCGCUUCAGCAGCACAUAUUAUAUAAUUGAAACAAUACAGAGAAGAUUAGUAUGGCCCAGUGCAACAAUGACACGCAAAUUCGUGAAGUGUUCCAUAUGUUU
rfam:Octopus bimaculoides Scaffold5385_contig_64, whole genome shotgun sequence.